rnacentral:tRNA from 1 species
GGGAACUUAGGUUAAGAAGAGAGUCAUAAAACUAAUUAUCUUCAAAAUAAUAGAUACAUUUAUUGUAGUUCCAG